AAACUACUAGACUAGAGUAUGGCAGGGGUAGAGGGAAUUUCUAGUGUAGCGGUGAAAUGCGUAGAUAUUAGAAAGAACACCGGUGGCGAAAGCGCUCUACUGGACCAUUACUGACACUCAGAGGCGAAAGCUAGGGUAGCAAAAGGGAUUAGAUACCCCUGUAGUCCUAGCCGUAAACGAUGGAUACUAGAUGUUGUAUUUAUUUUACAGUAUCGUAGCUAACGCGUUAAGUAUCCCGCCUGGGGAGUACGCUCGCAAGGGUGAAACUCAAAGGAAUUGACGGGGGCCCGCACAAGCGGUGGAGCAUGUGGUUUAAUUCGAUGCAACGCGAAGAACCUUACCAGGGCUUGACAUACUGCGAAUCUCUUUGAAAGGAGAGGGUGCCUUCGGGAAUGCAGAUACAGGUGGUGCAUGGCUGUCGUCAGCUCGUGUCGUGAGAUGUUGGGUUAAGUCCCGCAACGAGCGCAACCCUUGUUUUUAGUUACCAAUUCGUUGGGUUUUCUAGAAAGACUGCCGGUGACAAACCGGAGGAAGGUGAGGAUGACGUCAAGUCAGCAUGCCCCUUAUGUCCUGGGCUACACACGUGCUACAAUGGUUAGGACAAAGAGUCGCAAGUUUGCAAAAACAAGCUAAUCUCAUAAACCUCGCCUAAGUUCAGAUUGUAGGCUGCAACUCGCCUACAUGAAGUUGGAAUCGCUAGUAAUCGCUGGUCAGCCAUACAGCGGUGAAUCCGUUCCCGGGCCUUGUACACACCGCCCGUCACACCAUGGGAGCUGGUCAUACCCGAAACCGUUAGCUUAACCAUUCGGAGAGCGGCGUCUAAGGUAGGGCUAGUGACUGGGGUGAAGUCGUAACAAGGU
rnacentral:rRNA from 1 species